AUGAACGCUAGCUACAGGCUUAACACAUGCAAGUCGAGGGGCAGCAUGGUCUUAGCUUGCUAAGGCCGAUGGCGACCGGCGCACGGGUGAGUAACGCGUAUCCAACCUGCCUUACACUCUUGGACAGCCUUCUGAAAGGGAGAUUAAUACAAGAUGUUAUCAUGAGUAAGCAUUUUCGCAUGAUUAAAGGUUUACCGGUGUAAGAUGGGGAUGCGUUCCAUUAGAUAGUAGGCGGGGUAACGGCCCACCUAGUCUUCGAUGGAUAGGGGUUCUGAGAGGAAGGUCCCCCACAUUGGAACUGAGACACGGUCCAAACUCCUACGGGAGGCAGCAGUGAGGAAUAUUGGUCAAUGGACGAGAGUCUGAACCAGCCAAGUAGCGUGAAGGAUGAAGGUUCUAUGGAUUGUAAACUUCUUUUAUACGGGAAUAAACGAAUCCACGCGUGGAUUUUUGCAUGUACCGUAUGAAUAAGGAUCGGCUAACUCCGUGCCAGCAGCCGCGGUAAUACGGAGGAUCCGAGCGUUAUCCGGAUUUAUUGGGUUUAAAGGGAGCGUAGAUGGGUUGUUAAGUCAGUUGUGAAAGUUUGCGGCUCAACCGUAAAAUUGCAAUUGAUACUGGCAGUCUUGAGUACAGUUGAGGUAGGCGGAAUUCGUGGUGUAGCGGUGAAAUGCUUAGAUAUCACGAAGAACUCCGAUUGCGAAGGCAGCUUACUAACCUGUAACUGACAUUGAUGCUCGAAAGUGUGGGUAUCAAACAGGAUUAGAUACCCUGGUAGUCCACGCGGUAAACGAUGAAUACUCGCUGUAGGCGAUAUACAGUCUGCGGCCAAGCGAAAGCAUUAAGUAUUCCACCUGGGGAGUACGCCGGCAACGGUGAAACUCAAAGGAAUUGACGGGGGCCCGCACAAGCGGAGGAACAUGUGGUUUAAUUCGAUGAUACGCGAGGAACCUUACCCGGGCUUAAAUUGCAACCGAAUAUGGCGGAAACGCUAUAGCUAGCAAUAGCGGUUGUGAAGGUGCUGCAUGGUUGUCGUCAGCUCGUGCCGUGAGGUGUCGGCUUAAGUGCCAUAACGAGCGCAACCCUUGCCGAUAGUUACUAACAGGUUAUGCUGAGGACUCUGUCGGGACUGCCAUCGUAAGAUGUGAGGAAGGUGGGGAUGACGUCAAAUCAGCACGGCCCUUACGUCCGGGGCUACACACGUGUUACAAUGGGGGGUACAGAGGGCUGCUACCACGCAAGUGGAUGCCAAUCCCAAAAACCUCUCUCAGUUCGGAUUGAAGUCUGCAACCCGACUUCAUGAAGCUGGAUUCGCUAGUAAUCGCGCAUCAGCCACGGCGCGGUGAAUACGUUCCCGGGCCUUGUACACACCGCCCGUCAAGCCAUGGGAGCCGGGGGUACCUGAAGUGCGUAACCGCAAGGAGCGCCCUAGGGUAAAACUGGUGACUGGGGCU
rnacentral:rRNA from 1 species